CCUACGGGUGUCAGCAGUGGGGGAUAUUGCACAAUGGGGGGAACCCUGAUGCAGCGACGCCGCGUGGGUGAAGAAGCGCCUCGGCGCGUAAAGCCCUGUCAGCAGGGAAGAAAAUGACGGUACCUGAAGAAGAAGCCCCGGCUAACGACGUGCCAGCCGCCGAGGUAAUACGUAGGGGGCUAGCGUUAUCCGGCGUUACUGGGUGUACAGGGGGCGCAGACGGCGAUGCAAACCAGGCUUGAGAGCCCGGGGCCCAACCCCGGGACUGCUCUUGGAACUGCGUGGCUAGAGUGCAGGAGGGGAAGGCGGAAUUCCUGGUGUAGCGGUGAAAUGCGUAGAUAUCAGGAGGAACACCGGUGGCGAAGGCGGCCUGCUGGACUGCAACUGACGUUGAGGCCCGAAAGCGUGGGGAGCAAACAGGAUUAGAUACCCCAGGAGUC
rnacentral:rRNA from 1 species